ACUGCGGGAGAGGGUGAGGGCAGACGUCUGCCGACACCAGUCUCCAGAAAGGUGCAGAUUCUGCACACGCUACUUUACUGCAAACUGGGAAUCGAUUGGCCUGAUUGAUUGCUUUCCCCUAGGUUCCAUAAAUAAGGACUGUAAAACGUUAUAAAAAAGGGCCAAAAAGCACCAUUAGGAAAUAAAAUUUACAAGAGUAUCAGGGACACUAAUCAUGUUGGUUCAUGAGCAAUUAUAUCUUAUUAAUGAUGACUAAGCCUUCGUCAGCCCAGUCCAGCAUUGUCUCACACACACUGAACGCCUAAUGAGGGUGUAAAAUGAGUGGCUGUGUAUCCCAUCACACACAUUUAUAACUGGUUCAUUUAACACUGGCAAUGUAAUAUAAAAAUGUGACGGCAGAGCUUCAGAAGUUAAAGAGACAUUUCAUGGAUUUGUGUCGCUAGUAUACUAAAGGCAGAAAUGAUUUUACGAACUAUAUAGUUGUUAGUCAGCCACACGUUGAGCAGACUUGGAUAUAUGAACUUUUAUUUCCUUUUUACAGCACAUGAAAGCAAAGAAAAUCACUUCAAGAUAUCAUUUCGAAAAUAAAUCCAGCUCAAGUUAAAAUGAUGGUCUUACAAAAUGUUUUACAUCAAUUUGCGUAUAGAAACGGACAGUAAAAUUCUCACUGCUAGACCGGAAUGGUAGUUCAUCCUCAGCAAACCAACGGGGCCGGGCGACGCACCGUAGAAACACUGGAAACCAAAACUGUAAUCCGCACAUACAAAAAAAAAAAGAUGGAGGCAGAGAUGAAACAUGGACGCAAGGGUGCGAGGGAGAAGGAGGCACGGGUCCUAUUAAAGUUGGGUGUAACAAAAUAACACCCCCUCUCCCGCACCCCGUGUAUGGAAUGCUGGUGGCAAGUGCUUCAACAUCAAGGCACUCUAGAAGGGAAAAAUGCAACUAGAAAGAUGAAUGGAAUGAGAGAUGACGGGGGUUCACACAGAGGAUAGGAAAAGGGGGGGGGGGGGGGGGGGGAUUAAAUAAAUAAGAACCGAUCUCUGCUGUUCUCUGUGAACGUACAAUAAACUGGUGCUAGGUCUGUUUAGAACCGCUUUGUGUUCUCCAUAUCUGUAUUCUCUUAAAAACAGGAGAAGAAAAAAAAAUGAUCCACCAGGAAGAAAUGGACACUAUAGUUUACAUGCGAAAAUAAAAUAAACUUAAAACGCUACCUGUAGAAAAACAUACAAAAACCACAAAUAAUCUCAAACACACAUACAAAACCACUGUGAACACCAGAGGACAACAAAGUGCCAUUCCUUUAGCAGCUGCAGGGCAGUCCUUAAACUGCUCCCGUUUGCUUGUGUACGUUUGUGUUACGGGGAGGGAAAACAACAAGCCCUUGCAUAGACACUAAAGAAUGGCAACAAAGACAUGAAUACAAUAAAUAAAAAAUAUAUAUAUUACAAAAAUAUUUCGCAAACAAAAACAACACCCUUUGGAUCUUAAUUUAAUUAUUAUAGUAUACACAUGAUCUUCAGCGUCCUAUAGUUAUACUUUACUAAAUAACCUUUGCCGGAACUUUUCCAGAGUGCUCUCAGCUCCUGCACAGCCCUGGUCUACUCUUGUGGGGGCAUGUCACAAAAGAAGUUCACCUUUAACCUCUGACCUCUGACCUUUAACAUUUAAAGCAUACAAUCAGAUUAUGGGCCCGAUACUGUCGGAAAAUAUGGACCCAAUAGAUAACAAACACUUGCCUGAGAUGCCAAUAUGAUUCAAUGUACAGCAAACAGCAGAAAACAAUGUAAGCAUCUCACCAUUUAUCUGACAAGAAUGUCAUGUUAAGCUAAAAGUACAAGUGAAUUGUUGGUAUUUGUGGGCCUCUGCCUAUAUAGGUGCAUGUCAUAUGGGCAGAGGGCUCCUGAUAUCAAUACCUUGGUGCAAUCCACUGGAGUUUGGGCCUACACCGUUUACCCUUAAUGAGAGUCUACUGGACCAGGACUAGUGCUCAGACUAAACCUGACCUACUAUUGGUCCCUGAAGGCCUGGGUUAGUGGUCCUCUUUAAAACCACAUAACUGUACUGGUCCCUGCAGACCUGGAUUAGAGAUGUUCUUUAAAAACCACACCACUGUACUGGUCCCUGCAGACCUGGAUUAGAGAUGUUCUUUAAAAACCACACCACUGUACUGGUCCCUCCAGACCUGGGUUAGAGAUGUUCUUUAAAAACCACCCCAGUGUCACGCUGGAUUCUCUUCAGACAAAACAAACAAACAAACAAACAAACAAACAAACAUAAAAAGCACAUUUGACACUCAGCGUUUCCUCCAAAGGCUGACCAAGAUUGGUGUGCUGCGGUUAUAGCAGGAACAGAAGAGUUGCGAAGGCCCAAUCUGGAUAGCAGUCUCUUUCAUACUCUGUCCUGUCAACAGCCGACCCACUCAAACACAGUUACUUGCCCAUGGCGUGGAUUCCACCAGGAAGAGAGAGGCUGGGAUGAGACGGAGCUGCUGGAGACACCUGAUCAUGAAGACAAGACAUCCCACCCCCCAUUUAUUUCACAAAGAUUCUCUCUCCUGAACCUCAGGGGAGAUUACGGUCAGUAGUGGCCGAUGACCAGGCAGGGUAACUAGGCAACUAGAGAGGCACUAUGGGUACAACGCACGGGGCUAAGGGCACUGAAGCGGCUCUAUGCUGGUGAGAGUGGAAUCAUGGGAUAUUAGCUGAGAAAAAGAAUUAGCCUCCUGAGCCCCCUGAACCCACAGAGAGAGGGGGGGGGGGUCUCUGGCAGGAUCAAAGACACACCAAGAGCCAACUGGCCAUAACCGCUACAGAUGGAUCGUGAAAACACAACAGCAGGCAAAGCUCAUGAAAAAAAAAAAAAGAGAGAAACAUUCAGGUUUUUUGAAUAACCUUAAAAAUGACCCUCUCUCUCUGUCUGUUAAGGAGUAAGACAGUCACUGGAGAUCAAGGCAUCGGUUUCCCCACACACACACGUAUCCGUGGGGGCAGUUCUUUACUGUAACAAGGGACUUCAGCUCAACAUGGAAGUUUCCAGAAGCAGGUUCCAAGGGAAGGAAUGAUCUUAAAUGGUCCAAAAUAGCACAUCGCGUGUCCAAGAGCUCUCCUCUGGCAGCAAUAGAGGAGAAAAGGCAGGCAAUACACAACUGAGAAAAUGAAUGGUGUGUGUGUGUGCAAGUUUGCACUUGUGCGUGACUGUUCCCACGUAUAGGAGUGUGUGUGUGUGUGUUUGUGUGUGUGUGUGUGUGUGUGUGUGUGUGUGUGUGUCUGAAGAGAUGACAGACUAAAGGCCAUUAAUGUCUCACUUUAACUUCCUAUGUCUCAGAGUAUGUUUUUCAGUCAUACAGACUAUGUGACAAUCCUGUACAAAGUUAAGGCAGAUUACUGACAGUAUUUCUGUGUGUGUAUAUAUAUAUUUGUGUGUGUGUGUGUAUGUGUGUGUGUGUGUGUGUGUGUGUGUGUGUGUGUGUGUGUAACCUCACACUCCUACUCCUCCUUCCCCUGGCUCUCUUUUAUCUGGCGCGUGCGCACCAGCGUCUCCCCCAGCAGCUGCGUCUCCAGGGCAACAUGGAGGUCCAUCCCUGCCUGGUCCCUGCUGUUGUUGUUGUUGUUGUCCCGAGCAGGGGCAGCUUUCCUCACCCCCGGGCUGCCCUCCCCUCCGACAAGCCUCCUCCUCUUCUUCUUCUUCUCCUCCUCCUCCUCCUCCUCGCUCUGGGUGAGCCCUUCGUCCUUGUUCACCUUCAGGUCCCUCCCGCCGUUCUUCACCGGCUGGGGCUUCAGGGCUCCGCCUGCUCCGACGGCGGCACCACCACCGCCCGGGGCACCGACCCCGCCGGGGUCCUCGGCGUCCUGGUUG
ensembl:lncRNA